rnacentral:lncRNA from 10 species
UCUCACUCUGUGGUCCAGGGUGGAGUGCAGUGGCACAAUCAUGGCUUACUGCAGCCUUGACCUCCUGGGCUCAAUUGAUCCUCCUGCCUCAGCGUGGGACUACAGGCAAGCCGCCACCACAUCCGGCUAAUUUUUGUGCUUUUUGUAGAGACAGGGUCUCGCCAUGUUGCCCAGGCUGAUCUUGAAAUCCUGGGCUCAAGUGAUGCGCCCACCUCGGCCUCCCAAAGUGCUGGGACUAUAGGCAUGAGCCACCUCGCCCGGCCAACGACAGCAAUUUAUUCUCUAACAGUUCUGGAGCCUGGAAGUCCAAAAUCAAGGCGUCAGCAGGACCCUACUCCCUCCAGAAGCUCAAAGGGAGGCUCCUUUCUGCCUCUUCCAGAUGCUGGUGGCUCCAGGCAUUCCUUGGCUUGCGGCUUCAGCCCUCCAAUCUCUGCCUUUGUCUUCCUGUAGUUCAUGUAGUCUUGCUCUCUCCUCUUCUGUCUCUUCUAAGGACACUGGUCUUUGGAUUCAGGGCCCACCUGGGUAACCCAGGAUGAGCUCAUCUCAAAACACAUCUGCAAAGACCCUUUUAUCAAAUACGGUCUCUCUCUGACAGGGGCUGGGUUACUAGGACAUGGACCUAACUCUUGGGGGUAUCACCACUCACCCCACUCCACCAGCCCCCGCCUUUUCUGACAUUGCCCAUUUCCUGAAAGCUCACUCCCUGCCUAGCUCUGAGCCCAAGCCCCAGCGGAACCCCAUGAAGCAGAGGGGGAAACGGAGGCACAGGGAGUUCAGCCGAUGCCCAGGGGACCAAGUGGGGCCAAGGUUUGAACCUGGCUUUCCGAGUGGCCCCAACACAGUAGCCGCUGGGUAUUGGCCUCCCUCCAGUUUACAGGAAACAAGGGACUCUCACGCCCACGCCUCUCGGCCGAGGGCCAAACUGACAGUGAGUCACCCCCACUCCACAGGCCAAGAAGCUUGAAGCAGCUCAUCGAGGGGGACCAGACAAACGGUGGGGCCAGGGAGGGCUUCCUGGAGGCUCAGCUUGCUCCAGUGUCAACAGGGGAGCAAAUCCCACCUCCCGCUGCUCUCUCGGGAGGACUCAGCGAGACCCUGGAAGGAGGCAGCUUGGCACACAGGCCCCUGGCAAUCACCACCUCCCUGGUUAUUAGCAGGCCUGGCCCAGCCCACACAGCUGCCCACCCAGCCUCUGACCCCAGCCACAGAAAGGGCCCAUUAUGACAUCACAGGCCAGGAAUUAUGUUAUUAGCCUGGGAAGGAGGCUGGCCUCAGGAACAAAGGGCUCAUUGUCAUGCAAAUGAACGACUCCGGAGGAAGAGGGCAGUUCCUCCACUCUGGGGUGCCCCUCCUGCCCUCUAACUUCUAAGCCACACUGGAAACUGACCCCCAACCUUCAGAAGUGUGGGCAUCUCUGGGCCUCUGCUCUGGGCUAAAUGAGGCGCACUCUCUCAGCCUGGGAAACGGGCCCCUGCCAGUUCUGAGCCAGAUCCCCAGAAAACAGGACCCGCCUCGGAAGAUAGGGAUAGUAGAGGGACUUUUGGGGAUGAAACAGGAUGAUCCCCUUAACAUGCUAAGCAUGACCUUGAGCAAAGAAGCAACUGCCUUGGAAAUGCCAUUCAGUUGGUAAUACUGCAGGCCUGCAGCUGUGUGUCUUUGAGCAAGCUGCCUACCCUCUCUGUGCCUUAUCAGGAGAGGGUGACUCUGUGCCGACUUUACAAGGCUAUGGGAAGGACACAAUGAACUAAGACCUGCAUCCAGACCUUCGCCAAAGGCUGGCCCUGGAAUCCACGGUAACUCCUCCCACCCCCUCAGAGCGACUGUGUGCUAUGGGCAGGUUUGACACUGGGCAUGUCUCUUCACGGCCACUCGUUCUGCUUCCUGUGUCUUCCCC